rnacentral:piRNA from 1 species
ACUUUAACAUGGAGGUACUUGCU